GAUAAACGCUGGCGGCGCACAUAAGACAUGCAAGUCGAACGGACCAAAGCUUUAGUUUACUAUAGUAGAGGUUAGUGGCGGACUGGUGAGUAACACGUAAGCAACCUGCCUAUCAGAGGGGAACAACAGUUAGAAAUGACUGCUAAUACCGCAUAUGCCAUAAUCACCACAUGGUGAUAGUGGGAAAGGAGCAAUCCGCUGAUAGAUGGGCUGGCGUCUGAUUAGAUAGUUGGUGGGGUAACGGCCUACCAAGUCGACGAUCAGUAGCCGGACUGAGCGGUUGAACGGCCACAUUGGGACUGAGAUACGGCCCAGACUCCUACGGGAGGCAGCAGUCGGGAAUAUUGCGCAAUGGAGGAAACUCUGACGCAGUGACGCCGCGUGCAGGAAGAAGGUUUUCGGAUUGUAAACUGCUUUAGACAGGGAAGAUACAAGACAGUACCUGUAGAAUAAGCUCCGGCUAACUACGUGCCAGCCGCCGCCGUAAUAC
rnacentral:rRNA from 1 species